AUGCUCUGGGCUCCCCUCAUUGUCCUGCUGGGGACAUGGUGCACAGGUUCCAGCUCGCAGACUGUGCUGACUCAGCCGCCCUCAGUGUCAGUGUCUCCAGGAAACACCGUGAAACUCUCCUGCACCAUGAGCAGUGGGACCAGCAUCAGUGGCUACCAUGUGUCCUGGUACCAGCAGCAACCUGGGAAUUCUCCACGAUACCUGCUGAGACACAAGUCAGAUUCUGACAAGCACCAGGGCUCUGGGGUCCCUGCUCGCUUCUCUGGGUCCAAAGAUACGUCCAGUAACACCGGCUAUUUGACCAUCUCCGGGGCCCUGACAGAGGAUGAGGCUGAAUAUUACUGUGCUGCGUGGAAGGGUGGGAGUGAUCCUCACAGUGACACAGACAGAAGUGGAAGUGAGACAAAAACCUGCCACCCGUCCCCUCCUGAGUACAAUGAGGAGAUCAGAAUCUCAUCUUUCUUUAAAACAAAAACCCUAACCCUUAUGACUGUGAAGGAAAACUUGGAAAUGUGA